UAGCUUAGUUGUCAAAGCGCUCGUCUAGCAAACAAGCAUCGUGGGUUCAAGUCCCAC
rnacentral:tRNA from 1 species